rnacentral:tRNA from 2 species
AAUCUUAUAGUUUAAAAAAAACAUUAAAUUGCAAAUUUAAAAUUGAAUAAAUCUAAGAUUU